CCUGGGAACCUGGCUUCCCGCAGACAAUGGGCAGGGCGAGGGCGGGGGCAGCGUGGCCGGAAGCUGUGGGCAGGAGGGCGAGGCACUGGCAUGCUCCCUGAGCACAGCCGGGGGCACGGAGCGCCAGCCUCUCCGUUCUGCUGACCGCGCUGGUCAGCGCUGCCUGUGAAGUGUCCCACUGAAUCCCCGGGGCUGCCUUCCUGCCGUCACACCUCUGGGCUUGGGCGUCCGCAGGGUCAGGCCGCCCCACGUGACCCUCCAGGUCUGCUUCCUCGCCAGUCGGACCUGCUGAGGCCAGCUCCUGCUGGGUGGUCGCUGCGGGGCUGCAGGAAGCCACCCGUGUCCAGCAGUCCCUUCUGAGCGGUGACGCACCGUCAGCACUGCCCCACCGCGGAGGCAGAAGCGGCUGAACCAUCGGUGGAGCGUGAGCGGGCUCAGCGCGCAGGGCAGGGUCCAGUGCCCCAGGUGGCCCUGGAGAGCUCACAGGGGUCUCCGAGGAGCCGCUGAAGCCGCUCAGCGUCUUCGUCCAUACACGGAGACGCCUUCCUCCUCUCGGCGACGAUCAGCCGAGACCCGCACCGAGGCGCUCACCGUCCAGCGGGAGAUGGAGGAAGAGGACGCUGUCCACGCCGUGCCUGCGUGGCCGAGUCUGGGUGCCCCCGGGUCCCAAGCAGAGGGACCAAAGUUGGCCCCUGGUCGCACCUCUUGACCCCCUCGCCGGCCUGCUCAGCAGGGUGACGCUCUGGAUAAACACCUGCCAGGUGAGGGCAGUGCACCUGCCCACGCGCGCUCGCAGGGAACCAGGCGCCCCGCACCUGCUAGGAAUCCCGAAGUCGACCUGGUUCCACCCUGACCAAGGCCGCGCGCGAGAGGCGGGCUCAGCCCUGACGGCUCCCAGGCGUGUCUUCUCGGGGCUGUCAGUUUCACGCCGGUAACAGGACAGAUCUUGGGGACAUUAAGUGCAGCAGGGUGACUGUCGUUGGCUGCACCGUGUGUAUAUUGGGAGUUGGUGAGAGACAGGACCUGAAAAAGUUCUCUUCACAAGGAAAACACUAAUUGUAAGGUGAUGGGUGUCAUCCAAACCAACAGCGCCUGUCAUCUGUAAGACACCCAGGUGUCAAAUCAUUAUUUAUACCUUAAACUAAUACACGUGACCUGCCAAUUACAGCACAUAAAACAGGAAGCAAGAAUUACUGAGUCUCAUAGAAAGGUGCCUGGAUUUAGCACAGAAAGCAGGUUGCACAGCCAAUUUGGCCUUUUCUUUCCAAAUGUCACCAAGCACCAGCCUCUGGGCGUGGGGACCCUCUGGGGCUAAUGAGUAACCACAGCUUUCCCCCAACUCAGGCCACAGACAAGUGUCUCCUCUGGCAGGACCACACAGUGCUUGGCACUGGACGAUGGGGUGCAGGCCCCAGUGAGGGGCUUGGUGCGCACGGCCGUGACCAGGAGCGGGCCCCGUGGCAGCACCCCAGGGAAAGCUGGGACCUCCCCGUUGUGAGUAAGACGCCGCACUCAGACCCAGGGAAGUGACUCACUGAGAUAACAGGUCCCUGGUCACCAGGGAGCAAGAGAACUGGGGUCUGGCACGUGCACACCCCGCACACAGUCUCGGGACACUCCUCAGCCCCCACCUCGCCCGGCCGCUCAAGGAAAGAAACCCGCUUUUACCACAAAACUGGUGCUUCCUGGCCCAGCACAGGGUGGGGGGCUACGCACCCACAGAGUCACAGGACUCAGGCCAGGAAGGGCCCGCAGAGAGCAGUUGACUUCACCCUCCCCGAGCGGGGUACACUGCGGCCCCUGCAGCAAUGCCCGCUCACGACAGUGGCUAAAUAACUGGACUUUGCCUUAGGAGGAGGCCUGGGCCCCUGGUGAGGGGGUGAAAGGGCAGGCUGACUGUGGGGGUACAGGGGGGCGCUGCGGAGCUGUCUGACCUAUGCCGACGCAGCCCCUCGGAGAGGAGGGCCCUCCGUGCUCGGCAGAGCGGGAUUUUCAGGGAGAGGAGAUGACGCGGCCGAGCUCCGAGGGCCCGACGCUUGCCCAGACCGUGAACAGGCUCCGUCCACAGCGGCCGGCCCCGAGAGCACAGGCUGGACUUCCCAGAGCAGACUCGGGCCGGCCCCAGAGUUAGCAGAGAAGGCCCGGGCAAGGCACGCUGAGGGUCGCGGGGAGCCCAGCGGGCCGGAAGGACGGUCCGGCAGACAGGGAAAAGCCCGAGACGGUCAGGGGUCAUCUAAGUUCCCAGAGGGGCCACAGCGCGGCCCGGAGAAGUUCUGCCGCUCUGGCCCUGCCUGUUACACCACAGGGCCGCGUGUGGGCGCGGGCCAUGGGACGGCACGGGGCAGGCCGGCGCUCACCUGCCGAGGGCUCGGCCAGGUGACCAGCUCCAGGCCCCGUGUGGCCCCUCUGGGAACGUCUGUCCUUUCUGCUCCCUGAGCCCCUUCAACCUAAGGCUCUCCGGACAGCAGGGGGCUGUCCCCCAAACCAGGGAGAAGGAAAGCCAUCAGCAGCACCCCUUCCUGGGCGGGGGUGGGGGGCGCCGCCCGACGAGGCGGGCACCUCUAGUGCCUCUCGCGGGCGAGACCUCUGGGGGGCAUCUCGGGGCCUGGGCUUCAAGCUGUACUUCUGCCCGCUCUGCCCCUCCCUCUGGGCUCCUGGAGGCGCUUCCGGGCGCUGGUAGGAGCGGCCCUGACCCCCCAAGGCGCCGCACACUGGGCCUGGCUGGGUCCCCGGGGCCCCAGAUCCUGCGUGUUUUCUCGCGUUUGUCUAUUUUGCACUUCAACGGCUGGAUCAGCCCCUCUGGGCCACACAGCGGGGACUUUCACCCAGGUCCCGACAAAGGAAAACGAGUCAUUUCCCCGAGGUUUACCUCCGCGCACCACUGAAUAACGCGCACGAGCUCGCCGGGGGCCUGGCCACUGGGCUGGUGUCCACACACGGUCACCUCGGCUCGGGGAGGACGGGCGGGCGGCCCGCACCCGCCCUGCACCCUGUGACCGGCAGACUGACUGACUCGGGUGAAAAACCGUCCCGGCUUCUGCUGGCUGUUCUUCCCCCUUGACUCUCCUCGGGCAAGACACUGACGCUCCCUGAGCCCGGUCCCCAGAGCAGCAAAACCUGGAGCCCAGCAGGGCCAGGGAGGUGACCGGGGAGUGGCUGCGGCUCCCUGACACACGUGGACGUCUGUCGGAACGGAGGGCCAUUAGCAUCGAGGUGGGGACAUCACUGACCAGUGACUGUCACUUGGGUCCUACUCCUGUGUGGCAGCUGCAGGUCGCUGGUGGAGGGACGCGGCGACGCAGCUGCCUCACUGGGGUGGGCGAGCCCAAGGGCCACCCGCCUGCUGGUCCACCCGCCCGGGUGACCCCUCCUGCUCCUGUGCCCCCUGGCCUCAGCCGGGUCCUCCCCUUCCUCUUUACCCACUCAGCAGGGCGUGUUCUCCCCCGCACCACUGCCCGGGCCACCCGGCUGGCCCCCGCUGACCCCGGCUGGCAUCUCUCCUGACCUCCAGCAUUUGCCCCCUCCCCGGACACGGGAUGACCUGUGGGUGCCUCGAACAGAGCAGGCACCCAGCGAGCGUGGGCGCUCGGCCUCAUCCUCCAGGCGGCUGCCCCACAGUCCGUCCUGCUCUUGGGUCUCCUGGGCUCCCGGCAUCGCCCCAUUUCCAGACGUGAGCCGGAACGUUAUCGAGGCUCCCUCUAGGACACAGGCCUGGGGGCUCUGCUCCUGCCCCCUGGGUCCCUGCAGAGAGCUGCCACCCGCCCGCCACAGGGCACGCAGGGCCGCCAGACCGCCAGGCCGCACAGCCCUCUGCACCAAAGCCAAGCACACACCAAGACUCCGGGGUCUGCCGCGGCCGGCCGCCGCGCCCCACCCUGGGGCCCCCCGGGGUCGGCCUCCCUGGCCCUUCCCUAAAAGCUCCAACCACAGGGUGGCCGGCCGGCCGUGGGGUGCUCUGCCCGACAGCCCGUGGCUUGUCCCUCACGCCCUCAGUCUUUCCAGCUCUCUAAUCCCCCGGUGAAGGGCGCGGCCUCUCGCGACGGGGCGGUCAGGAAGGCAAGGCCGCCCCCCCACAGCUGCUGCGCUCGGCUUCGCGUCCUCUGGCCGUAAACAAGCUUCUCCCCCGGCUGAGUCUGCCCCGUAAAUAAAACAGGCCGUGGAGAGUGGCCAGACCAGCAUUCCCCGCCUGCAGAAAGCCAUCCGGAGGCAGGGUCCAGCUUCCCAGAAGAAAUU